CGCUCACCGGCCAGUACGGUGUGAGGAAAGUCCGGGCAACACAGAGCAUCAUAUUUCCUAACGGGAAGCUAUCGGUGACGGUAGAGUAGUGUGACAGAAAAUAACCGCCUUCCUUAUGGGAGGUAAGGGUGAAAAUGUGAGGUAAGAGCUCACGGACCAGCAUGGCGACAUGAUGGUGGCAUGCCUUAUGAGUUGCAAGGUCAAGUAUAUCGGCAUUUAAGGGUUGCUCGUCCAUUGCCGAGGGGUAGACUGCUAAAGCGCAGUGGCGACAUUGCGUUCAGAUAAAUGACAAACGGGCUGUUCCAUAGCGGAACGCUUACAUAACCCGGCUUAUAACCGUAC
rnacentral:RNase_P_RNA from 1 species